rnacentral:rRNA from 1 species
AUUGAACGCUGGCGGCAUGCCUUACACAUGCAAGUCGAACGGCAGCACGGGAGCAAUCCUGGUGGCGAGUGGCGAACGGUGAGUAAUGUAUCGGAACGUACCUUUCAGUGGGGGAUAACGUAGCGAAAGUUACGCUAAUACCGCAUAUUCUGUGAGCAGGAAAGCAGGGGAUCGCAAGACCUUGCGCUGAUUGAGCGGCCGAUAUCAGAUUAGCUAGUUGGUGAGGUAAAGGCUCACCAAGGCGACGAUCUGUAGCGGGUCUGAGAGGAUGAUCCGCCACACUGGAACUGAGACACGGUCCAGACUCCUACGGGAGGCAGCAGUGGGGAAUUUUGGACAAUGGGGGCAACCCUGAUCCAGCCAUGCCGCGUGAGUGAAGAAGGCCUUCGGGUUGUAAAGCUCUUUCAGCCGGGAAGAAAUCACAUGGGUUAAUACCCUGUGUGGAUGACGGUACCGGAAUAAGAAGCACCGGCUAACUACGUG